rnacentral:misc_RNA from 1 species
AGCAGCCGCGGUAAUUCCAGCUCCAAUAGCGUAUAUUAAAGUUGUUGCAGUUAAAAAGCUCGUAGUUGAAUUUCGGGAUUGACGUGAUGGUCGUGCCUUACGGGGUAUGAACUGUUGCAGUCAAUUUCUCACCUUCUGGAGAAAUAUGAUGUCCUUAAUUGGGUGUCAUAUGGAACCAGAACUUUUACCUUGAAAAAUUAGAGUGUUUAAAGCAGGCUUAUUGCUCGAAUACAUUAGCAUGGAAUAAUAAAAUAGGACGGCAUGGUUCUAUUUUGUUGGUUUCUAGGAUCACCGUAAUGAUUAAUAGGGAUAGUUGGGGGCAUUAGUAUUCAAUUGUCAGAGGUGAAAUUCUUGGAUUUAUUGAAGACUAACUACUGCGAAAGCAUUUGCCAAGGAUGUUUUCAUUAAUCAAGAACGAAAGUUAGGGGAUCGAAGACGAUCAGAUACCGUCGUAGUCUUAACCAUAAACUAUGCCGACUAGGAAUCAGACGAUGUUAAUUUUUUAAUGACUCGUUUGG